UCUUCAUGGGAGGGGUCCUUGUACUCAGAGAGAUAGAAUGUGUGAGUCAGGCCGUUGGCAGCUGAGGGGCCUCAGGCACCCAUGGCCUCCCCCUGUGUGUUGGUGUCUGCACAUGAAAUGAGGACACAGAAGGGCCCUCCCAGGGGUUUUGAUGAUGUCUGUCUCCUACAGAUGCUGCUGUAGUGGACCAAGAGCCUGGGGUGGACAGAACAGUGAACAGGGAGGACUCUGAUGGACAAGACCCUCAGGAGGUGACAUACGCACAGCUGGAUCACUGCGUUUUCACUCAGAGAAAAAUCACUCGCCCUUCUCAGAGGCCCAAGAGACCCCCAACAGAAACCAGCAUGUACAUGGAACUCCCAAAUGCGGAGCCCAGAUUGAAAGUUGUCUCCUGUCCGUGAGCACCACAGACAGGCCUGAGGGGGUCCUCCAGGGAGACAAUGGCCCUGACUCAAACCCGGCUUGCCAGUUCCAAUGUAACAGCAGCUGGGACCUAAAGGCGUGAGUCUGUGUCUUAGGGGAUCGCUCUUCCUUAAACCACAAAUCUGAACGUGGCUGUCUCUUGCUUACAAAUGUCUGCGGUCCUCACUGCCUGCUGGACAGAAAACACACUCCUUUGCUUAACACACAAUUCUCCACUUGACUUGACCUCUGCCCACCUCUCCAACCUAACUGGCUUACUCCCUGGUCCUACUUGAGGCUGCAGUCACACUGAGGAACUCACAAGUCCAGACAUACAAGAGGCUGCCUCUUAACAUAGCACUUAGACACGUGCUGUUCCACCUUCCCUCAUGCUGUUCCACCUUCCCUCCGACUAUCUUUCAGCCUUCUGUCAUCAGUAAAAUUUAAAAUUUUUUUUAUAAUUUCAAUGUAGUUCUCUCCUCUUUAAAUAAACGUCUCGUGCUUU